rnacentral:rRNA from 1 species
GCUUGUCUCAAAGAUUAAGCCAUGCAUGUCUAAGUACAAGCCUCAGUAAGGUGAAACCGCGAAUGGCUCAUUAAAUCACACCUAAUCUACUGGAAAGUUACUAGUUACUUGGAUAACUGUGGUAAUUCUAGAGCUAAUACAUGCACCCAUGCCCGACUUUGUGGAAGGGUUGUGUUUAUUAGUUACAGAACCAACCCAGGCUCUGCCUGGUCUUGUGGUGAUUCAUAAUAACCGAACGAAUCGUAUGGCAUCAGCUGGCGAUGAAUCAUUCAAGUUUCUGACCUAUCAGCUUCCGACGGUAGGGUAUUGGCCUACCGUGGCAAUGACGGGUAACGGAGAAUUAGGGUUCGAUUCCGGAGAGGGAGCCUGAGAAACGGCUACCACAUCUAAGGAAGGCAGCAGG